UUGUAUUUUACUAUUUUAUAGCCCCAACAACAACAGCUCGACCAGCUGCUCAACCAGUAACAACAGCAGCAGCUCCCCAAACACGUUCUAUAACAUGUAAUACAUGUGGAGAUUUUGACCAGUUGAUUCCCUGCUACAGUAGAGACGUUUACGGAAACAGUUCUACCUCAGUAUGUCCUUCUGGAUAUGACUAUUGUAUGACAGAUGUUUAUCAAGAUACCAAUGGCAAUACAGAUGUAUUUAAAAGGUGUGUAACAAAACAAGUAUGCGACUCAAAAUGGACAAAUGAUUCUGCCAAUUAUAACUAUUGUUCGCAAUACGGGGUUGUUAACAAUCCAAAUGCACAUGAAUGCCACUUUUGUUGCACAGGAGAUCUCUGUAAUACCAACAUGAAGCCUUUAUCUUCUUCGUUAGUAAAAUAACCUUGAAGAAAAAGAUAUAU